UUAAGAAGUGUGUAUGUGACUUCUACGCUGGUUAAAGGCCCCAUCUUUACCGAGUACCCGUGCGAGUGCCUGACCAAAAGGGCAAAAGUGACAAGGGAUUUGGUACGUGGUGCAUUCCGAAAGACGCCUACGUUUCCGUGACUGACUUCGCCGAACGAGGUGAUACGCCAUGGGCCGUUGCUGCAGCAAAUGCGCGCUGCCUUGCAGAAGACGACAACGAGAUACGGAAGGGGAUGUUUCUGUCAACCAAAAUGUAAAUACUGAUGUAAUUGAUGAAGCUCCAGGCCUUGAAG